rnacentral:rRNA from 1 species
AUACGGAGGGGGGUAGCGUUGUUCGGAAUUACUGGGCGUAAAGCGCACGCAGGCGGACUGGAAAGUUGGGGGUGAAAUCCCGGGGCUCAACCCCGGAACUGCCUCCAAAACUUCCAAUCUAGAGAUCGAGAGAGGUGAGCGGAAUUCCAAGUGUAGAGGUGAAAUUCGUAGAUACUUGGAGGAACACCAGUGGCGAAGGCGGCUCACUGGCUCGAUACUGACGCUGAGGUGCGAAAGCGUGGGGAGCAAACAGGAUUAGAUACCCGAGUAGUCC